CUUAGAGAUCGUCUGCUUAAAGGCUGAGACCCUCGCCACCAGAGGAUAGAGGGUAGCCCAGUGAUGCGGCGGGAGACUUUAGGUAGCUCCUGCCUCGCUGGCCUCCAGCCUAUGUGUGCCCACCCUCCACGCGUCCCCAGCACCGCAGGGAAGCCAUCCGACGCGUUAACCUUUCCCUGGCUAUUCCAAGCAAGGCAAAGGGCCAAGCGUCUAAGACUCUGGUCGUCUCUGCACCUGGCAACAUGAAGACAACUAGAGGCCACCUCGGGGGCGGGGCACAAACGAAAUUCACGGGUAGAGGAAAAGGCAGAGGACACACUCCUAAGGGAAGAGGCAAGAGGAGCAGAACGGAGGAGGGGAAAGAGCAGAGCGUGAAAAGUCAAGGGCCUUUUUUGGUAGGAGGCCGGUGAUUAGGUUCUUGACUGAACAACCUGGCCUUCUAGAGAAAACCUUCCCACUGAGACAACUCUCCUGCUGGAGGGUCGUCUUUCAGAGCAGCGGCCUGCAGAAAGGAAGAGGUGUCAUCCUUGAAUGGAUCUAAUCAGAGAGGGUGCUGGCCUCCGAGAGAGAGGGGCGGGGCUCGGCUUUUCCUCAUGCCUCUGAGAGACCCCACUUCCUGGGUUCACUGUCCACUGCUCAUGCCUGAUGACCCAACAUGUGCCAAAUAAAGGAUACCCAAGUGGGCAGGAUUACUGGGCACGGCAGAGAACUGCUCGGGUCUGUCCUAAGGCCUGGAAGGCCUCCCACCACCUCCCGGGGAC